UCUUUAGUAGUGAGUUUGAGAGGUGUAGGGCGACCUUCAAUAUUUCAAGAGUAGUUGAACAAAUAAGCCCACUAAUACCUUUUUUUACUUUGGUGUAGUUGACUACCUAUUGACUCAAGGUUAAACCAAAAAUAGACUCAUGUUUAUAGGAACAUGGAAAGCUUAUUGUAACCCUAUUUAAGUAGGCUCAUAGCUUCGCUCAGCAGAAGAGCCUUACUUUCUUCUAUUAUAUUAGUAAAGCGCUCGCGGGGCGAACG
rnacentral:lncRNA from 1 species